UACGGAGGGUGCAAGCGUUAAUCGGAAUUACUGGGCGUAAAGCGCCCGCAGGCGGUUUGGUAAGUCAGAUGUGAAAUCCCCGAGCUCAACCAGGGAACUGCAGUUGAAACUGGAAAGCUAGAGUCUGGUAGAGGGGGAGAGAAUUCCAGGUGUAGCGGUGAAAUGCGUAGAGAUCUGGAGGAAUACCGGUGGCGAAGGCGGUCCCCUGGGC
rnacentral:rRNA from 1 species